CGGGGGCGAAAAGGGACACACAGAGCCCUUCCCGGCUGUGGACAGGAGCUGCCUCGGCUGAAGCUGGAGACGCCAACGAAAGGUGGAGGACGGCCUAGAGUCUGGAGCUGCAGAAGAGGCAGGGCGGAGAGGAGGGGAAAGAAGCAUCUGAACGGCUAAAUUGUGCCAGCAGCGCUGAGAGCGAGAGUCGCGAGACCGUGCUGAGGACGUGGUUGUCUGUCCUUCCCCCGGGGAUGCCGUUGACUGCAGCCGUCUCAGGCUUGCGUGGCUUCUCUCUGCCCGGUGUUGCCAUCCUCGCAGCGCGGGGGCGAAAAGGGACACACAGAGCCCUUCCUGGCUGUGGACAGGAGCUGCCUCGGCUGAAGCUGGAGACGCCAACGAAAGGUAAAGCAGAAGAAACUGAAGGCGCUCUGGCUGCCAGCUGCCUUCCUGCCGCAGGCAAGAGAGAGCCUGUCCCUGCAGGUGA